GGGACCAGAGGCUGAGCAAGGAGAGAAACAACUGCCAGGAGGGCCGGGGUUCCUCCAGCUGUGCUCAGUGCCAUCAGCUGUCUGAAACAUUGUUCUGCUGCAUGUCUGUCCCGCAGGCUGCUGGGCUCGGAGCAGGAACCUGUCAUUCCCACAAGGAGAAUGCAGUAUGGGUUGGACCUUCCAGAUGGAAGUGCCAGCACAUCGUCAGCAUCGUGAAAGGAAUGCCAUUCAUCUGGAAACAGCCCCUCCUUCCUCGAUAGCCCAACUAGACCAGUCACAUAACAACGCAUCCGGAGAUGUUCAGAGGCUGCGGGAGCAACGUCCAACAUGCAGGUGGGAGGUAGCUGGCUGCUCUGAUUGGGCUCCCACAAGGAUGUGCAGGGAGUGAGCCCUGCUGCACUUUCAGGAACAGCAGAGGACUGACCGGGUGAGCUGAGGCAGGAGGCUGCUUCCCAGAC